CAGGUAGGAAGAGAGCAAUGGCUGUCCUCUGCUUGGGAAAGAUCAUCGGAGCAGCAUCACUUCUGUCCAAGCUGGGGAUGGCAGCACGAUGAGGGGAGCAGCAGGAUGAGAAAUCACAUUUCUUUCAAAUCAGAUUGUUGCCCUAGGGUUGUUGACCUUUAUUUCGCCCAUCUGGAAAACAAAUGAAGCAGGAAGGAUCACAAUAUGAGAUACUAAUCAGAAGAGCUGUUUGGUUUUUUGGAAGCUUGACUUCCAACUUAUAUAUUCCCCCAGCAAUACGUUGGAUAACUCAGCUAUAAGGAAAACCAGCAGUUUG